GUUUUCUUUUAUUCUCGGCUUUUAUUUCUGGUCUAUGCCUGUCUGGGCUCUGUUUGUAAUUUUUCUCUUUUCAUUUUAGUAAUUGAAUAUGAGGUGAGAUAGCAAUGAAAACUCGAGACAUUGUAAUGAGUCUCUUUACUAAUUCCACAAUACUGCCCGAGUACCUGCCAGGCAUUUAUUUUUCUCGGCCAGCACUGAAGAUGUGGCCUCUUUUCAUUGCUGUGUUAAAGGCACUCAUUUUUCCUGUCCCCGCAGCCUGUGGACUCUCUCGCCUGUAGUGUUAUUCAGCUGGCAGCCUACGCAGUCUCCUUGUCUUUACUUUUGCAGCGUCUGCUUGUCAAUCGUUUAAGCCAAAGUUUCACGCUUGCUUUGACGGUUGUUUUCGCUCCACUACUUCUACAGUGGUAUUGCAGUUCACUUGUCACAGGCCUCUUCCUGGUAUAGCAAGAGUCCUUGCACAACUAAAGAUUAUACACUUAGUAGGGUGCAGACUAAGCUUUCCUUCUUAUCGGAAAAAGGUUUGUUGUGCUGCACGAUGGUGUUCUUGUUUAUGUGGCCACUGCUAAGACAUUUCUAUGUUGUGCGAGUAAUUUUCGUGUCGUCGACGCUUCAUUGUGCCCUUCUGCAGGAGGCCCACACGUCACUUCGACCAGGAAGUCUGUAUUGAUGCGAGUUCUUCGGGCACCGCAAAGGCUGCCUAAGCUGACGUGGUGGUUCCGCCACAAGCAGCGUCGCACGCAGCUACUGAGACUGGAGACACUCAGUUAUGGCCGCGACCUGGAGUAUUAUUUUAAGCAAAGAAAUCGUUUGCAGCAGACUUGGGGAACCGACUGAAAAUAACACUUGACCCUCUGGAGAACCUGGUUGCCUUGAGAAAUGCCAAGUUUGGGAGCCAUUUCUACACCAACCAGGCUGAGAACGAGUGGCAUAUGCUGAAGCUUGCAUACUUGAUGGUAUGAAGUCGAAACAGCCGUUCAGGGAAUCGCUUCCAGGACAUAGAUAUUGAACGCCUGAAUGGUAGACAUUUUUCUCCAUCCUCAAUGCCCCGUGGACCCUCACAUGCGAAUCCUAGCGCACCUGGAGACUUAAGAAGUCUAGUAGACUCUGUUGAGGUCUACGGAUCCGGUCGUGAAGACCCUGGCUGCCGACCGGGCUGCCAACAUUACAGACCGACCUGAACAGAAAUGCAUAAGUGCAGCGGGGCUCAGGAGAGGCCUGAAAUCCUGCUUGCUGCGAUCAUAUCAGUCAUGAUAAUAAAUCUUUUCUCCUUGUCCUGCAAUACUA